UGACCAUGUCACAGUUGUAUAACAGCUUUCAGCUCCUGUCUGUGCAGCAAAACUUGUUUCGGUUAUUCAUCGAGAGAAUUUUUUUUUCAGUUUAAACUACAGACUUUCCUGUCAAAUACACAAUUCUGGACCAAGAUUCUCAAUUGCAAAUAACCAGACCUUUCCUCUCACUUUUACAGGUGGCCUCUUACCUGUCCCACAUGCGACUGCCAUCCUCUUCCAGUCACGAUCUGCUAAAUGACAGGAUGAUGGUCCAGUUCAACCGAUGGAGCCAAACCCGAGUAUAUCGAGUCACAAGUGACAUGAGGAGGGAUGCGAAGCAAGAGAGGCUGGACAAAGUGAGGAACAGGUGGGCAGCCAGGAGAAGCUUUUUGGACGAGAAGAGCCAAUUGCCGAAAACAACGUUUUUGUUGCUUGCACAUGAGACAUUGUUUUCCUUCUGCACUGUGAGAAGAACAACAAAACACUCUCUCCACAGUCCUUUUUAAUGCCAUAUUUCAAAACGAGCCCAAAUUCUAUUGAUGUUUGCUUGUUUGCAUAGAGUUUGUGUAACUUGCCACGGCUAAUUGUGGCUAACUGAAGCAGUAGUGAGGUGCAUCUCAAUUGCAUAGUAAGGAGCGUCAAAUCAGUUCCGACUUAACCGCAACCCUAAUAGAACUUUCAAGGUAAGUGAGAUAUUUAAGGUUUGCCAGUUCCAUUCCCCCCUGUGAAUUUCCAUGGGGAUUCAAAUCCUGUUCUCUAGAAUCCUAGUCUGUCGUUCUAUCCACAACACCACACUGGGAAUCCCAGGGUACAAAAUGCAGUCCCCUUGAAUUAAAGACAAACAAAGCAAAAACCGAAACACAAAUGACACAUUUUAAAAUACACACGGUGGUGCACUCUUUUUCACCAAACCUGGAAUCCCAACAUUAUUGGCCUGAGCGGAGCUGAUUUGUGUGACAUCCAAAUUAAAAUGGAAUGGGCAGGUUUGGUUUGGGGAUGAAGCAAAAUCGUUCUGAACUGAUUUAGUGACUGAAAUGUUUAAAAGGGGUUUGGAUACAGAGAGCAAGUGGUUGGGAGGGAAGGAGAAUUACUGACCUUUGCCUAAAUAAACCUAUUAUAUGCCAUCUAAGGCCA
rnacentral:lncRNA from 1 species